rnacentral:rRNA from 1 species
GGGUUGUAAACCCCUUUUAGUUGGGACGAAGGUCGGGCGGUGAAUAGCCGUUCCGACUGACGGUACCUUCACAAGAAGCCCCGGCUAACUACGUGCCAGCAGCCGCGGUAAUACGUAGGGGGCAAGCGUUGUCCGGAAUCAUUGGGCGUAAAGAGCGUGUAGGCGGCCCGGUAAGUCCGCUGUGAAAGUCAAGGGCUCAACCCUUGAAUGCCGGCGGAUACUGUCGGGCUAGAGUCCGGAAGGGGCGAGUGGAAUUCCUGGUGUAGCGGUGAAAUGCGCAGAUAUCAGGAGGAACACCUACGGCGAAGGCAGCUCGCUGGAACGGUACUGACGCUGAGACGCGAAAGCGUGGGGAGCAAACAGGAUUAGAUACCCUGGUAGUCCACGCUGUAAACGAUGGGCACUAGGUGUGGGAGGUGUCGACUCCUUCCGUGCCGAAGCUAACGCAUUAAGUGCCCCGCCUGGGGAGUACGGC